GUGCCAGCCGCCGCGGUAAUACGGAGGGUGCAAGCGUUAAUCGGAAUUACUGGGCGUAAAGCGCACGCAGGCGGUCUGUUAAGUCAGAUGUGAAAUCCCCGGGCUCAACCCGGGAACUGCAUUUGAAACUGGCAGGCUUGAGUCUCGUAGAGGGGGGUAGAAUUCCAGGUGUAGCGGUGAAAUGCGUAGAGAUCUGGAGGAAUACCGGUGGCGAAGGCGGCCCCCUGGACGAAGACUGACGCUCAGGUGCGAAAGCGUGGGGAGCAAACAGGAUUAGAUACCCUGGUAGUCCACGCCGUAAACGAUGUCUACUUGGAGGCUGUGGUCAUGAACCGUGGCUUCCGGAGCUAACGCGUUAAGUAGACCGCCUGGGGAGUACGGCCGCAAGGUUAAAACUCAAAUAAAUUGACGG
rnacentral:rRNA from 1 species